UGGGUAACCUGCCUCAAAGAGGGGAAUAGCCUCCCCGAAAGGGAGAUUAAUACCGCAUAAUAUGUUUAAGUCGCAUGACUUUAACAUCAAAGGAUUUUCUUUUAGAAAUUCCACUUUGAGAUGGACCCGCGGCGCAUUAGCUAGUUGGUGAGGUAACGGCUCACCAAGGCAACGAUGCGUAGCCGACCUGAGAGGGUGAUCGGCCACAUUGGAACUGAGACACGGUCCAGCUCCGUAGGGAG
rnacentral:rRNA from 1 species